CGUGCUUAACACAUGCAAGUCGAACGGAAAGGCCCUGCUUGCAGGGUACUCGAGUGGCGAACGGGUGAGUAACACGUGGGUGAUCUGCCCUGCACUUCGGGAUAAGCCUGGGAAACUGGGUCUAAUACCGGAUAGGAGCCAUUUUUAGUGUGAUGGUUGGAAAGUUUUUUCGGUGUAGGAUGAGCUCGCGGCCUAUCAGCUUGUUGGUGGGGUAAUGGCCUACCAAGGCGGCGACGGGUAGCCGGCCUGAGAGGGUGGACGGCCACAUUGGGACUGAGAUACGGCCCAGACUCCUACGGAGGCAGCAGUGGGGAAUAUUGCACAAUGGGCGCAAGCCUGAUGCAGCGACGCCGCGUGGGGGAUGACGGCCUUCGGGUUGUAAACUCCUUUCGCUAGGGACGAAGCUUUUUGUGACGGUACCUAGAUAAGAAGCACCGGCUAACUACGUG
rnacentral:rRNA from 1 species